rnacentral:misc_RNA from 1 species
UUUCCGUAGGUGAACCUGCGGAAGGAUCAUUAUCGUACAAAAUGUGAGGGGCAUGCGAGGGCUGUCGCUGACCCAAAAGUCGUGCACGCCCGAGUGUGUCCUCUUGCAUAAUAAUCCAUCUCACCCUUUGUGCAUCACCGCGUGGGCACCCUUCGGGAUCAUCUCGGAGGGGGGCUCGUGUUUUCACACAAACCCCCCUUUUAAAAGUGUAGAAUGGCCACAUUUAUGCAAUCAAUACAACUUUCAACAACGGAUCUCUUGGCUCUC